AGAAAUAUACACAGAUCCUACUACUUACUAGUUCCUUUCUGCUAACAGGAGCUCCAGAAGACUUCUUCCAACCUCACUUCCUCUUCAGCCUGCAAAGAAAUAAAGACCUUGAUUGAUGAUCACAGGCAGAUGUGGUGAAAGCAUCCCAAUCAGAGGCACAACACUGCUGCCUGAGUAAUGGAUUUCCCAUCCUCGUGGGAGGCAAUGCUGAGCUUGCUGUUCUGGUGGGCAAAAUCCUGCACCAUCAGAUGUGCACAAACAGCUGAAAGCACACAUUAUGUGCCAAGAAGAAAACAAACAGAUAAGCUCAAAAUCCCUCCCUAGCCUUGUCUGUACUUCUGUUAACAUCCCAGAGUCAGUGUUAGCCUGUUGCAGUCAUUUGUUUUAAGGUUGUGCUUGGUUUGACAAGGAGUCUAGACAGAAGAGCGCUCCAUUCAUCUGACAAAUGCCUAUUGCUCUUCUCUGCAUUAAGUGAAUCUUAGAGGAGUCAGUGCCUUGAAGGCAGAGCUUAGCCCUGCAGAAAAGCCAGACGAGGACUGUAGGACAACCGAAGAAAGGUCCUGGUUGACUGUGACAGAUAUCUGGAAGCAGGGAGGAAGGUGCACAUCUUCCUCUGGAGGAGAGCAGAGACCUUUCAGUGAGCCAUGACCACAAAUCCUGUUUCCUAAUUGAGAGUAGAAGGAGCAGUGGAUAAGCUGCCAAGGCCAGUGUAAAUGAAGAAGGAUUGCUUUUUCAAGCAAUAGAUCAGAAGUUAGGACAUUGCUUUAUGCAGAUCUUUGCCCUUACACAUAUCUCUGUGUAAAAGCAGAACUGCCCGAGUCUGGAUUCCACUGGGACCCAAACUGGGUCUCUGAUGCUUUCACAAAUCAGCAGCAAUUGGAAGCAGCUAAAUUUUAUGAAUGUAUAUUCCAAGAUGCUGUAAUUGUCACCUCCCAGCUGUUCUUUGCCAUCUAAAGGCACCUUCCUAAUGCAUCCUCUUUGGCACAUGCAGCCCUAAAGCAGUCACUGUCUGCCUACCUUCUUGUACUCACUGCAAUAGCCCCAAAUAGCUUCUGAGCCAACACAGACUCUUUCGGGGAUCACCAAGGACUCUAGACUCAUGUUUGUCAUGCACAGCUGAGAAACAGGAGCAGCCCACCAGGUAGAACGGUUCCACUUUGCUUCCAAGCUCCUAACACUGAUACAGCAGAGCUUAAAGCAGCAGUAAUCAGCUAUGGAGUCACAGAAAGACAGGCAGGUUGGGCUCAUUUUAGAUAAGGCAGCUGUGAAAAAAUGACAGUGUGAUGGACAGCUGCAUGAGAAGAACUCCCUGUGCUGCUAAGGUCUUACAAAAUGAGGCAACUUCCCAUCCAGUGCUGCUUGGUGAACUCAAGAGCUUCAGCUGUGAGCUUUUCUCAGAUGGCACCUUCCAGGUGGGCUCCUCCUCCCAGGGAACUGAGACGGCAGAAGGGGAAUGAAAGUAGUGAGGGGUGUGGCUAUUUUGGGAUAGAGAGCUCUGGAAGCAAGGACAAACAUGCCAGUGAGAUUGGGUUUUGUUGCAGCACCCAUUCUCUGUCUACCCACCCCAGUUCUCCAUGUUAUGCAUACAUGUGCAAGCAGUUGUCUUCCAAUGGACAAAAAUCUGAUUCCAAGGGCCAAUGCUGCCAGUCCAAGGGUGCACCAUGCAGGCUGGCUCCUCUUGCUGCAGAAGAAGGGCCGUCCGCCCAUUCAUUUUCUAUGCGGGGAGAUCAAAAUUUUUGGCUGCAGCUCUGAAAGCUCCUCUGCCGAUUAAAUAUUUAUUAUGACAUGUUGCCUAGCAAUGACCAGAUUGCCCUGAACAUGCAGGAGAUAAAAUAUACUACAGGGUGCGGGAAGCAGGGAGAGACAGUGGAAAAAUAACUCCAAACAGCCACUGAUUCUGUUGGGUUUUGGGACUAUUUACUAGCACAAGAUGAAAAAUAGAUUUUGUUCAGUAAAGUGUUGGAUUGGUCCGACUAAUUUCACCAGCUAGGUGAAAGGCUUACAGGGAUAAAAGCAGACAGUCGGAAAAGCAGUUGGCUGUUAUAUCGCAGAAAGGGUUAUUUUUGUCACUGCCUGGUGAUGUGUGUCCGGACGGCACGGUGCUGUGGUGUUGUCUUCCCUCUUGUUGUCAAUGUGCCAGAGCUAAUUAAAGUGAGCUGGGCCUAUCAGUGGAGUGGGAUUUACUGAAACAAACUAAUCAGGGAGGCAAAAAUAGCCGUGAAUUUCUGCUGUUCUGAGGGAAUCUGUCGGCUUGGAAAGAGGACGGCGGGGAGAGCCGACAUCAGAUGUCUGCUCUGGCAUCUGAUGCUCCUCAUCCACCCUGCUGCAUAUUCUGAGCACUUUCAGGAUUAAUUUCUUUUGUUAUUGUUUUUCACCGCCAAGAUUGAAUCCCGCUUCCAAUGAGCUGAACCAACAGAGCAGUUUGGAAGGCCCUUGGGGAUGUUCACUCAGCUGUUUGCGUGCUGGAAAGAAAUCCAUUUUUCUCCAAGAGCCAUGUGGCAGCAUCUCCCACGCCUGGGAUGGCAGCGAUACACCUUCGUUACACAAGAAAAGGGCCGUUUCCAUUUGCAAUGCAUUCUGAAGUCCUCACCCUCAGAAGGCACAGAGCAUCUGUCUGCUUUGAGGGAACAGCUGUGCAUUCAUUUUGGAUAGCUUGGGGUGGGCUACUGGCGGUCUGUACAAAACAAAGCUACCAGGAACCAUGUUUCUCAGCAGACUCUCAGUCUUGGAAGGUAUUCCCUCAAACACUGCUCGGGAUGCGUUGCUCCUGCUGCCUCCUGGGCCAGUCGUGGAAGCUCUUCCAGGACUUACCCAAAGGAUGUUGGCAUCAGAGCUCCUCCCAGACCGUGGGACAGCGGUUUUGAGACUUCUAACUCGGCUUGCUUAACUUCAGGUCUGUGUCAUCCACCCAAUGCACAGAGCCUUGCCCUUUGCCUUCCUGAGGAUCACCGUGACUCCACUGUCUCCCCGCUUGCGCCAACCUCAGUAUUUUUGCUAAGAUAAAUAUAAGCCAUGUACCUGUCUGUCAGUCACUUCUUCAGGGAUACUGAAUCUAUGAAAAAGAAAAACCCGAUUUUAAAUGACAUGUCGUACUAAACUGUCUCAUUACUUCCAAAGUGAGAUGAAAUGCCUUCUCUCUACGUAUUAUUUUUUACCCUAUGUCUCGGUAAUACUCUUCAUUCGUGGAAAUGGUUUUCAGACUGGAAGAUUAUAGACUGGUCAGAACCAAAGAAAAGGAGAGAAAGAUUUACUCCAAUCAUGUCAAAGGGACCUCAGUGAAUAUUAACUGAUAAAGUACACGCCGAUCACAGCACACCCUCAUCGCUCGCCUGUGCAUUUAUCCCACUUGAUGAAUGGGAACAGUUUAUAGAGCAGGCAGAAAUUGAUACGGAAGAGGUUUCUAUCUGGAAUGCGCUGUAUAAAUUACUGGAUGCUUAUCUGUGAGUAAUUCGCCUGCAUAUGCUAACUGUCCAGACACUUGCAGCCUAUGGCAAAGACAUUAGAUAACCUUCGAUUCUCAAUUGCUGGGGGCAAUCUUCAUACUAAAUAAAUAGUUCAUCUCUUUUGGACACAAAUGAUAUAUCUGUUUGCAAGCAUCGCAAGUUCUGGUCUAGAAAUGGAUACUUACACUAUACUUUUUUUUAAGCUGUCUUUCCUUCCUUUGUGCCUGCAAUUGGUGGCUGCACUUGAUGUAAUUUAGCAGCCCGCUACUCAUGCCUUGCCUGUUUUAUCCUUGGGUUUCUGAUGCACCUGUCUGGGUGCCUGUCAGGUAGAUGGACAGUUGAAGACAUGAUCUUUUUUAUCUUGCUCCUUCUUGCUAUAUGUGCCUGCUGAGGGGACAAAAUACUCUUGUUCAUGUAUUUCCCUGCAGUUAGGCAACUUUCUUGCCUAUGGCUCUUUGCUGCUGCAGACGUAUGUGCUGCUCUGAAAAGGAAAUUUUUUUUCUACUGAGCUCUGCAGGCUCGAGACUGGAAUUUACCUGAGCAAGAAGUAAGGCCAGGAUGAAAAUUAAGCACACAGGGUGUAAAGAAAAGAGCAUUUCCCAUUGCUCAGACAGGUGAAUGACAAAUAUCACUCUCUUUCUGAAAUAACUCCCACUCCCCAGCUUAAUGCAGACAUUGCAUAGUGUUUGUUUGGCACAAGCUGGGUUUAUAGCUCUAUUUUCUAGAAAUAAAAUCGCUGUCUGCCUGAAAGCCAAAGCAGCUUUUGCUUUCCAAAGGAAUUACAUUGGCACUCACAACCCAUCUCAGUCUGGUGCCAACUGAGUGCAAAUGAACCAGGACAAAAUUGGGCGCAUGGAGAGAAACCUCGGGGCUGCCUAAAGGCUUCAGGCAACUUGCAGAUCAAAAGCAGAUGGUCUGGUGGUGCUGCUUCGAGCCCCCAGCCAGAGAUGCCUGUCUUGUGAUCACCCAGCUCCUGAGCCAGGGAAAUUUCAGGAGCAAGCUCAGCAAAAGAGCCCACACCAGCCUCCCUGCCAUGGAAUGCACUGGAAAGUAUUAUUAAAACGUAGGUGUAAGACAGUGGUCAGCCAGCAGUAUUUUUUCUGCCUAGCAAGUGGUGCUGAUAAGUGCAAAUUCCCUUGGAAGUUAUCAGAGAAGCUGGCUGUGUUUGUUCGCUGGAUUUGUAUUUCUCAGCUGAAAGAGGUGCUGAUCCCAUGUCUCAUUCUUGGCACUGCCAACAUCCCUGGCAGAAAGCUGUGCUCAAAGCUGCCUGCUGGGAAAUACUCCAUUAAUCAAGUGCUGACAGACCUCCUUGCUACCUCUUCCCACGAUGGUCACACGUCAUUUUUGCUCUGGAAAGUCACUCCUUGUAAUGCCGUGUGGCACGGGAGCAUCACCACGUGAGCAUCCCCAGCAUGCCCACUGAACCAUGGGGAACGGGACAUCUCAGUGCCACAUCUCCUCAGUUCUUGAACACCUUCAGGGAUGGUGACUUCACCACCUUGCUGUGCAGCUGUGCCAGUGCAUCGCCAUCUUUUCUGAGAAGAAAUUUUUCCUAAUAUCCAAUCCGAACUCAUCUGUCAGCCACCAGCUACUCACUCCACAGACCCAGUCAGUGCAACGUCAUCGCUUGCAGUAAAGUAUGACUGGGAUUUGGGUUGGACAAGCCCUUCUUUGCAUGCAUCCAUUGUGAUUUUCACACGUUUCUUUAGAUGUGUGAGUCCAGCCUGCAUCCAGUGCAGAAAGAAACUGAGAGCAAGUUUCCAUCUCCGUCUCAGCAACACAUCUGUCUCAAAGGAGAGAUUGUCCAGAUGCUAUUUCUGCCUCCUCACAGCUUGUUGCAGCAAGGACUCCCCCACUACCUUUCCCAGAGGACAACAGAGUUGCCUUCACAGUUUUCUAAAUUUGGCUUUAAUGAGUGCAAAAUAAAUAAGGUAGCAGGGGAACAUAAUCUGGUUAACAGAGCAGCGGCAGAAAGCGCAAGCUGCCGGCAUAAGGUGAUUGAUUCUGAUUUCCUGCAGUGAGUCCAUGAGCGCAUCUCAAGGCCUCAAACAGAAACCUCAGUGGUUUGGUGGGGAUAUGGCUGGGUGUGAACCAGGCAGGUAGUCCUUAGUGAUGACAGCAGAGCCGUGUUUGCCUUGGGCAAACACACAUGCCUGCUGAGUUUGCUGCUCAGAUGCUGUUUAUGAAGAGAGAAAUAGCACAGCCUGGAAUACAUAAAGGUCUGUACAAAAUCACCCGCUCGGUGGGGCUUGCAGAUGCACUUCAGUCCUAACAUCCAUCCUCUGGCUAUUCCUGCUAUUGCUGACACUCUCACUCUGCCUGUGGAUCUCCUUUCUCCUCCAGCCCUCUGCUCAUCCAUCUGAGUUUGAAGCACCACUGUGCACCGCACCACCAAAGCACCCCAGCCUUGGUCCAGACCUGAUUCUGAGUCUCAGGAAUGUGAGCCCCAAAUACUGGUGCUGCCAGGCACUCAACAAACCUUGCAAACCCAAAUUCCUUAGUCCAAUGCUGUGAAGGAUGUGCAGAGUGAAUUUCCACAGGGGCUGUGUGCCCACAGCUUCCGCUGAAGGCAGUUGAGGAUGCUACAAUGCUCCAAAUCCUUUCUUAAUUAGACCAGAAAUCUUAUCACUUCCUGGGAGGGUUUAAUAUGUCCUUUACCUUUUAAAGGAAUUCUGUAUUUAAAAAUAUAUCUGAUAAACAGGAGCUUCUCUGAAUACAGAAAUAAAUGGAAGGACAAUAAACUCCUUUUCCUUGCAAUUUUGAGCAACGUUAGCUAGAGAAACAAUGCUUGUAAAUAACCCGUGACCCUUUUUAUCCAAAAUGAUCUUCCUAGCAAAUUAAUCCAUUUUAAGACACAGAGGGCAUGAACAACAUGCUCAGCCAGUUUUCUUGCUCCGAUUUCAACUUUUUCAGGUCUGUGACCAUUCAUUCACCAAAGAAGAAAUAAAUAAAAUUAUCUCUAAUUUCUCACUGAUUUCUAUCAGCCUAUUUUUAGGGAACGAAGCAGAAAAGUUAUUUUUAUACACAUUCCUAUUUAUAGGGGAUGAACACAAACCGUCAGAUUUUGGUGGGAACUGCUGGGGCAGGAAAGCAGCUGCGUAUGAGCACACAGGGUGAGAUGCAGGAUGAACUAUUCCCCUAUACACAAUAUUUCAGUAGGGUCAUACUGAAGGCUGAGCUCACAUUUCGAUGUCCUCAUGGCUGUCUCAUCAAUGCUGUGUGUUUAUUUGGCUUUUUGUGAGGAGGGCUAUUUGUGGGAUGGGCAUAAAGGUGCAGCAAGAGGUUGGAGUUGUGGCUUGUAGUGUUGGCGGGUGAGAUGGUUAGACAGGUGAAUAAUGGAAAGAAGGCAUUACUGUGCCCAUUUUAUGGAUGAAGAGUGGAGACCCAAGGAAACAGUGGCAAGCAGAAGCCGAUAAAGGACAAAGAAGCAAAACCUGUUUGUCAGUUCACUGUGGUUGGGUUGCAAGGCUCACCAAGCUUUCUCAAGAAUGCUCAAACCUCCAAAAUUCAGCAAGAGGCUGAAAACUGCAGCUCUGUUCUCUGCUUCUGCAACCAAAUGGGUUGGAUUUGAGGUGCUCAGAGGAAACUGGCAGGACAGAAGGUACCGAGGAGCUGACCCCACGCACACCCAGACCCUGCUGUGGACAUCAAAAUGAGCAAACAGCAGUGAAGUAUCUGUGAAGAUUAAGAUGAAUGCUUGCAUGUUUUGCUCAGUGAUAUUUCUGACCUUUGCCAUGAAUGUUCAUCUAUUUGUUUGCAAGAACAAUUGUGCAAAGGGAAAUUCUCAGGAAUGUGCGUUAGAGUGAAGCUUCAUCACAAAAGGGCUUACGUGGCCACACAGAGAUCUCUGUGCUGUGUAUAGGAGUUUCUGUCCCUUGGGAAGAGAACAGGAGUAAUAUGAUCAAGGUAAUACAUUUUGCAGAGCAGAAAACAGCAACGAAAAGAUGGCAACCAGCCAGGUGAGACUGAAGAGAACUCAAGGGCUGAGAUGCAACACAGACCGCACUGAGGAGGGAAUGUAGUCAUAACAAACAAGCCCAUUCAUUCAUGAAUAAUACAGGACCAAGAAACAGAUCUGACUUUGUCAUUUAAAUUAUUUAUGGUUGGUACGAAGUGGCCACCUGUUAGGGCUCAUGGCACUGCUUUAACCCAGGGCACUGAAGUUGAAAAGCAAAAGACAGUGCUGCUUAACCUGAAACAUACCAUCUUUGUUGCAAGCAUCUUUAGGCUGUGCUUUUGCUUCAUUCCAUUGCUGAAAUCAGCAGUAAUUUGUCCCAUAGGCCACCAAAGAGAGCCAGGGUAUCCCAGGCCAUUGUUUUUCCUAAAAAUCCCAGUAACUCUAUAACAUACCAGAGCCACUUCUGAAAGCCACCUGGCAUUCAUGACUAAGUAACCCCUCUUGCUCUGCAAACGACUUGUUUUUCUCAGGGUUGUCAUAGAGAGGAGGAUAUCGAUGAGUCAGUCGUGUGCCAGGGAGCACAGAUGAGAAAGAAGCAUUGCAGUGAAGUCUUCUGCUCUCUUCCUGAAAGCACACAUUUUUAGCCUGUUUCUCCUGUGUUCAUCUCUUUGUUCCCUCAUGCCAAUUUGGAUGCCGGGAAGAGGAGCAUCCAUCACAUUCAGAGGAUGCUGUGAAAGCAGACACUCUAUAGCAGGGAAGUCAAUAGGUUGUUUAGUUACACUCUGCUUCCAGAAAGACAAAACUCACUUCUACCUCUCUGAAAGAAGGAAAGGUCUCAGGUAUCAGUGCAUUAGAUCUUUAGAAUGUCCCAUCAAAACACAGAAUGCUGUCGUUUGUUACCUUUUGAGAGAAAUGCCCAACUGAAAUCUGCAAGGUCUUCGCUUUCUCGCUUGUAAGAGAACAGUGAAGAAUGAAAGCUGUCAGUUGGUUCUGAGGCUGUUUUCACCAGAUAUAACCCACAGCCUUUUUUUUUUCCUGAUGUAUUUUAGCUUUGUUUGCACUUAACUAGAAAGCCAAAAAAGAAGAGAUACAAGGUGAAUGAUACCAGGCCUGUCCAGUUCUGACUUUUAACCCUCAAAAGGCUCCUUCAGCAGCAGCAGCACCAAGAGAAGCCCCAGUCAGUGGCUGUCACGUGGUUCAAGAGCUGCCUGUAUGCUCCAUCUCUUCUAGAAGGUGCAAAUGCAGCUUUAAUCCCAAUACCCAGAACAACUUCAUCCUUUUAGGCAUCUCUAACAAUUACUCCAUUCACAAGGGAACAGUUUUGACUAUAGCAAUGUAUUAACUAAAUGAAUUCACUCACUGAUGUGCCCUUUUAUCAUCUCAAGUUCCCACUGUCCCAUGACCUGCUGUACUCCAACCACACUUCAAAUCUGUUUUCUUCUUCCCUGGCUGUCAAGCACCUUCAUAUUCCCCAUUUGCAAUUUUGCAUAAGGAUGCCAGUACAAAAACAAAUAAGCAUGCGUUGUGCAGCCACCUUUUGCUGAACAUAAUCCCCACAAGGCUGCUGGUUGACUUGUUCCUAAAGCAAUAUCAGUGUGUAAAUACCACUAUGGCAACACAUGGCUGGUAGCUAAUCCUGGUGAUGUUCAAGUGGCAUUUCAGGCUGGAAUGUGCUCCGACUCUGGCUUCAUCCAGAAACCAAGGAGUCUUUCAAACAGCUCUGCUCCUUACCAGAGGCAUGUAGGAGCUGUGUGGGUGUUAGCACUGGUUGAGCACUGAUUUCACUGGGGAAUUAGUACAUGUUCUGAAUGGAGAAAAAUAUGCUUCAUAGACCCAGAGUCAGCAAGAAAGAAGCCUCCAGGAUUCCAAGAAAAUGAAUUCCUCAGAUUGAAAUAAAGAGGAAGGGCAGCAGAGGAGCUGCCACCAUCCCCACUAUCUGCUCAGCAGUCUCUUCUCACAUGUGCAGAGGAUUACAGGGAGCAACUCAACCCCAGGGACCACCUCCACGAGGCCCCAAACACUUGAAACAGCCCCUGGUCUACCUGGGGCUGAAUGUGCUGACACACUGCAAUCCUUUGGUACACCUCAGAAGGAGAGAAAAGUCUGUGUCCCCUCCUCUCCCACCUCUCAGGAAAAGUUUUCCCAUCCUGCUGUAUAAUGAGUCCAUUUUUUAUUCUUUCUGGCCAUCUCCCAAACAUGAAACUGGUACCUCGUCACAAAGGCUCAAGGCUUUUAAUAAAAACCCGAAUUUCCUUCUAUUUGAGGCCAGAAGGUGACUAAUGAAAUAAAGAUCCUCUGAGGCAGAGGGAUGCUCUGCAGCAGCCAACAGAGUAAACGUUGGCUGCCACCAGUAUGUACUCAGCACAAGUCCCUAUUGCAUACAGUGGGACCCCUGCAAAACUGGGGUACAGCAACGGAGCCAUCUGCAGCCUGGUCACAUUGCUCCCAUCCCUGCAGCAGGACAUAAGCCCAGCUUGAGCACUGCACUGCAGGCUCCUUUCCAGCCCCUACCCAGAGACAAGCAUUUGCAAAAAGAGCGGAUACAAAGCCAAUUUCAAAUGAAUGUUGGCCUCAGACUAACAGGAAAAUGAACCACUUGCUUUGAUUUUUUAAAUGUAUUGGUUCUUCUUUCAGAGCCUGGAUCAAUCGAGAAGGGGAGCUGAGCAAUGGAUAAGUCUUUACUUGUUCAGGAAUGGGAUUUCUUAAAAUCAGCAAGAGUUGCAUGUUUUUGCAUUUCCCUCACAGGAGCUGUGUCUGCUCCCAUUCCCCGCUGAGAAGCGGGCUCAGGGUGUGCCAACGCAGCUACCAGUGGUGAGAAUCCAUCUUUGGACAUUCCAGAGAUCUGCAAGCAAGGCUAUUUUGAAAUUCAAUAUUUUGUUCUACUUCACAAUUCCCACAAUGUAAAGCAGAAAACGCUGCUUGAAGGCAAUCAGAACAUUUCAGUUGAAGGCCAAAAACCUCAAUUUUUUUUUUUCUGCCCUGAUAGAAUCCAAACUGCUGUUUUCCAAAGAAAACUCAGAGUGAUCCAUCAAGAGAACCUCUGAGCUCAUCAAAAGAUUGUAUGAAGUACUCCUGAAAUGGAGAUGCUCCAAUGGAGGUCCUCCUUUUGAAGGUGGGGAAUAUUCUGACCAGCUCUAUUUAGCAGGUUGCCUUUGUGUGUCACCUGCACAACUGCAAGGCAAUGAUGUAGAAGGACAAGUGGGACGUGGUUAGUGGGCAUGGUGGUGAUGGGUCAGUGAUUAGAUGAUCUUAGUGGUCUUUUCCAACAUUAAUGAUUCUAAGUGGCAGGUGGAAACACCUGCUGGAGACUUCAACCCUGUUGAAGGCUGACUCAUGAAACCCACGUAAGUCUGAAGUACAAUGCCUCUGCCAAAGAGGCUGAGAUCAGAUGCUCCUCCCUCUCCCCUCAUUAGCAGCUUCCACCUGGUUGGAUCUGUGUAGAUCACAGGUGCUGCUGUUGUCCAUGUUUGCAAAGCCCUUGUCUCAGCUCUGACUCAAGCAGUGCAUAAUGGCUGCAACACAGCUCAUGUAACAGCAUCAUUGGGAAUGUGCCCAGCACUUACCUUCUGCCCCCUGCAAAAGUAGCCAUGUGCCAGGUGCAUCGCUGAGCUCAGAGUGCACCUGGAAGGUGCAUGGCAAAAGCUGCCCUCUGCCACGGAGAGAGCAGCCAGCUCAUUUGGGAGCAGUGAACAGAGAGGAAUUUAGCUCAGUUAUGGGAGCAGUGAUGGCCUAUGAUGCAGUAAUAACGGAACAGUAGGUAACGCUGUGGCAUUUCAGAGGUCUCUGGGUUUUUGCAAAGCACACGUGCCAAGUCCUUUGUCUCAAAACAUGAUUCAGUGCACAGCUGCUAAGAACACUGCUUAAAAACAGGAUUUGAAAGAAACCUUCACACUCCCACCUUUCUGACCACACUGCCUCAUAGCAACCACACGAACCUGAAUCCAUCCCUUCUGAUUUGGGGAGCACACACCAGGAGAUCAAAAGGGAAAAGCCUGGGAUCAGCAGGGAUCCUCUUGCAGAGAAGCCUCUUACCCCAUUGAAAAGACUUCUGUGGGUGCACAGCAAUGGGACAACAUGGCCCAGGAGACCCACUCCCUUGCCUGGUUAGUGCUUGUCAUGGAAGAGAACAGAUUGAUUUUACACUGCUACAAACAACAUGGGAAAUGUCUGUCCUCCCUGACUGGCUGAGCAGGACUCUGCAAACAGAGCUGCUGGUACAAAAGCUCAUGAUUCCAAUUAUCUCUUGUUUUUUCCUGCCAGUAAUCUCUACUCCCGACCUCCAGAUCACUCUUUUCACGGUCCCCACUCCAAUCAACACAUACCCAAGGGCAUCUCCUAGUAGAAGGCACAGGAACAUCACACUCAAAGCCAAACCAAGCUUUUUUCAGACCUGACAUGAACACUUAACAACCACCCCACGUGCUGGGAGCCAAGUGAAUGUGACACAGAACCAGGACUACACUCUCCAGCCCCUCAUCCCCAGGCUUACCCAGGGACAGCAGGAGGAGCAGCACCAAGGAGGUGGUACACCUAGUGCUGUUGACGUGACCCAUGUGUGAGUCCUUUCUAAUUAAAGCAGAGCUCAGGGCACAGCCACACACAGGGUGCUGCUGCUAAUUAGGGAGGGCUGAGUGCUGACACAUUAACCUCUUGGUCUGGAAACAUUAACUUUACCAGGUGUAAUAUCUUCUUGGUGACAUAAAGGUUAAUAAUCUGUAUCCAAAACAGAACCCAGCUCAGUAAAUGCCCAGUUAAUGGGGUGCUGGUAGAGGUGGCAGCAGAUUGCUGGGUGUAGGGCUGCACCAUGGGGACAGCCAAUGGGGCAUGAGGGGAGAUGUCCUCAGAAGGGACACCACUAGCAGAAGCCAGGCAACAAAAUAAGAUAAAUAAAAGAUUUACUGCUGUAAACAAAUCCUGUUUUCCAACCAUCUUCCCUCACUCUCCCCUUCAGAAGCCGUUCUGAAUUCACUUUCAAACAACUUUGCAGAGCAACAGCAGUUGUGCUCAGGUUGUAUGCAGUAAUACUGGAGGGUUUUCUAACUCUUGAUCUUGGUUGUUUUUUUUCCCCCCACCCUGCCUUCUAGAAGAGGGGUGAGGAUCAGGCAAGGACAAGGACUGAAACAAAUACACAGUAAAUGAAUAUUCAACUCAGAUUGAAUGCAGAUGCCUCAUUUAGUAUCAUUUGCUAGAGACUGAGGAGAAAAUGAUUUUCUUUUCUUAUAGAGUUAAAAAUAAUGGCUUGCAUAAAUGUCUGCUUUUAUUCUGACCACAGCAGCAGACCAAACAUGAAAAUGGCUAUCAUCACACUCCCAGGAGUGUGCCACUCUGCUGGCCUGACCCCGUGGCCCAGGUACUUUGAUGGAGACGAAGGCAGAAACCUCUCCAGCUCUUGAAGCAAAAACAGCUGCAGGGGCUCUGGAUGCUUCGCAGGGCUCAGCCACCUCACUGAGCUGUUGUUUUGACUAAGAGGGUUUAUGGUUUUUUUUUUUUUUUCCUGGCACAGCUGCACUAGCACAGAAAGCAUCAGACAACCAGAAGAUUUCCAGCACAUUUCCAGGCUGCUCAACUCAGAGCUACUCCUCACAUUGCUUUCUUCCAGGUGCUCAAAUCCUCCCUCCUUUCUACAACCACUCAUUAAACUUCAGCUGAGAAUUCCCCUCUUCAAGAGUCUGCCCAGCACUCUCCAUCACCACCAGCUUUCACCAGGACUUCUCCUAUAGAUGGGAAAUCACUCCCAAAUAGUCUCCAUCAACCUGCAUCUCAGUAUGCAUCUCAGUACCGAACCUCCAACCCCAAAUCUCAGCUCUGCCUUCACUGAAACAAACCUUCCUGGGAGAAGCAGAGUGCCAGCCCAGCCAGUCAGAGCACCAAGAGAUCAUCCAGUGAGACAGGAGAAGAAUGAAAAUAGUGUUUUUAAUACAAUUUACAGCAAACUUACAGUAUGUUAUUUCACAUCACAUAUUUCUAAACUGCUCAUCUGGAAAAUAUAAGCUGCAAAAAUACAGAAUGCAGUACUGAAAAUAUAUCGAGUGUGCGGUUUCUCUUUUUUUUUUU